AUUGAACGCUGGCGGCAGGCCUAACACAUGCAAGUCGAACGGUAACAGGAAGCAGCUUGCUGCUUCUCUGACGUUAGCGGCGGACGGGUGAGUAACACGUGGAUAACCUACCUAUAAGACUGGGAUAACUUCGGGAAACCGGAGCUAAUACCGGAUAAUAUAUUGAACCGCAUGGUUCAAUAGUGAAAGACGGUUUUGCUGUCACUUAUAGAUGGAUUCGCGCCGCAUUAGCUAGUUGGUAAGGUAACGGCUUACCAAGGCAACGAUGCGUAGCCGACCUGAGAGGGUGAUCGGCCACACUGGAACUGAGACACGGUCCAGACUCCUACGGGAGGCAGCAGUAGGGAAUCUUCCGCAAUGGGCGAAAGCCUGACGGAGCAACGCCGCGUGAGUGAUGAAGGUCUUCGGAUCGUAAAACUCUGUUAUUAGGGAAGAACAAAUGUGUAAGUAACUAUGCACGUCUUGACGGUACCUAAUCAGAAAGCCACGGCUAACUACGUG
rnacentral:rRNA from 1 species